UCCAAUGGCCUAGUGGUUAGAGCGUCCGCCUCAGAUGCGAAAGGCCGUGGGUUCAAUCGCCGAUCGAGUCAUAUCAA